CACGUAGGGGGCGAGCGUUGUCCGGAUUUAUUGGGCGUAAAGAGCGUGUAGGCGGCCAAAUAGGUCGGUUGUGAAAACUGGGAGGCUUAACCUCCAGACGUCGACCGAAACCAUCUGGCUAGAGUCCGGAAGAGGAGAGUGGAAUUCCUGGUGUAGCGGUGAAAUGCGCAGAUAUCAGGAAGAACACCCGUGGCGAAGGCGGCUCUCUGGGACGGUACUGACGCUGAGACGCGAAAGCGUGGGGAGCGAACAGG
rnacentral:rRNA from 1 species